CUGAAAAAAAAAAUUUAUAGGAAAAUUUCCCCAAAAGGUAAGCACAAUAAAAAGUCAAAAGGAGGUACGGGCUGAAGAAUGACUUCCUGCAAUGUGUAAUUUCAAGUUCCCAUACAGAUAACUCCUCUGAGGAUCUGAGGAACAUGUGUUCUUACCUUGUCCUGAUUCUCCUAUACAUCUUCUUGGGAGAGAACUGUGCAACUUAAAGGCUACCUUAUUUUGUACUGUGAAUGUCUCUGGAGCUCCUUGGGAAAAAAGUUAUCUGAUUUAGCUACUAUGUGCCUUUUGAAAGAAAAGGGCUAUGUAAGAAGACAGCAGUCUCACACUGUGCCAGAAAAACACUCCAAACUGAAAAUGAAAACAAAGUUUCACUUUUGGCUCUAGUGAUACUUGUUGUACUUGCUAUAGA
rnacentral:lncRNA from 1 species